rnacentral:rRNA from 1 species
CACGUAGGGUGCGAGCGUUGUCCGGAAUUAUUGGGCGUAAAGAGCUCGUAGGCGGUGUGUCGCGUCGUUCGUGAAAACUUGGGGCUCAACCCCAAGCUUGCGGUCGAUACGGGCAGGCUAGAGUUCGGUAGGGGAGACUGGAAUUCCUGGUGUAGCGGUGAAAUGCGCAGAUAUCAGGAGGAACACCGGUGGCGAAGGCGGGUCUCUGGGCCGAUACUGACGCUGAGGAGCGAAAGCGUGGGGAGCGAACAGG